rnacentral:rRNA from 1 species
GAGUAACACGUGGGUAACCUGCCCUGUACUCUGGGAUAAGCCUUGGAAACGAGGUCUAAUACCGGAUACGACAUUGGAUCGCAUGAUCUGGUGUGGAAAGUUCCGGCGGUAUGGGAUGGACCCGCGGCCUAUCAGCUUGUUGGUGGGGUAAUGGCCUACCAAGGCGACGACGGGUAGCCGGCCUGAGAGGGUGACCGGCCACACUGGGACUGAGACACGGCCCAGACUCCUACGGGAGGCAGCAGUGGGGAAUAUUGCACAAUGGGCGAAAGCCUGAUGCAGCGACGCCGCGUGAGGGAUGACGGCCUUCGGGUUGUAAACCUCUUUCAGCAGGGACGAAGCGCAAGUGACGGUACCUGCAGAAGAAGCACCGGCUAACUACGUGCCAGCAGCCGCGGUAAUACGUAGGGUGCGAGCGUUGUCCGGAAUUAUUGGGCGUAAAGAGCUCGUAGGCGGUUUGUCGCGUCGGCCGUGAAAACUUGGGGCUUAACUCCAAGCUUGCGGUCGAUACGGGCAGACUUG